GACAGAGGGGGCAAGCGUUGCUCGGAAUUACUGGGCGUAAAGGGCGCGUAGGCGGGAUGGUAAGUCGGUCGUGAAAUCCCUCGGCUCAACCGAGGAACGUCGAUCGAUACUACCGUUCUUGAGGAUUGCAGAGGAGACUGGAAUUCCCGGUGUAGCGGUGAAAUGUGUAGAGAUCGGGAGGAACACCGGCGGCGAAGGCGGGUCUCUGGGCAAUUCCUGACGCUGAGGCGCGAAAGCGUGGGGAGCAAACGGG
rnacentral:rRNA from 1 species